UACGGAGGGGGCGAGCGUUAUUCGGAAUUAUUGGGCGUAAAGGGCGCGUAGGCGGCUGUACAAGUCAAAGGUGAAAUCCCUCGGCUCAACUGAGGAACUGCCUUUGAAACUGUACGGCUUGAGGCCGGGAGGGGGUAGCGGAAUUCCCAGUGUAGCGGUGAAAUGCGUAGAUAUCGGGAGGAACACCAGUGGCGAAGGCGAGUCUCUGGGAUGAUGCUGACGCUGAGGCGCGAAAGCCAGGGGAGCAAACGGG
rnacentral:rRNA from 1 species